rnacentral:rRNA from 1 species
UGUGAGUAACGCGUGAGUAACCUGCCCUUGAAUCUGGGAUAACUUCGCGAAAGCGUUGCUAAUACCGGAUACCGUCCUUAGGGUUGAUGCUCUUUGGAUGAAAGGUGACCUCUUCAUGAAAGUUGCCGUUUAAGGAGGGGCUCGCGUACCAUUAGCUUGUUGGUGGGGUAAUGGCCUACCAAGGCUACGAUGGUUAGCUGGUCUGAGAGGAUGAUCAGCCACACUGGAACUGAAACACGGUCCAGACUCCUACGGGAGGCAGCAGUGAGGAAUUUUGCGCAAUGGGGGAAACCCAGACGCAGCAGCGCCGCGUGAGUGAAGAAGGCUUUCGGGUCGUAAAGCUCUGUCAAGUGGGAAAGGAACCAUGGUAAAUAGCCAUGGGACUUGAUGGUACCACUGGAGGAAGCACCGGCUAACUCCGUGCCAGCAGCCGCGGUAAUACGGAGGGUGCAAGCGUUGAUCGGAAUUAUUGGGCGUAAAGAGCGUGUAGGCGGUAUGGUAAGUCAGAUGUGAAAGCCCUGGGCUCAACCCAGGAAGUGCAUUUGAUACUGCCAUUCUUGAGUAUGGGAGAGGAGAGUGGAAUUCCCAGUGUAGAGGUGAAAUUCGUAGAUAUUGGGAGGAACAUCCGUGGCGAAGGCGACUCUCUGGACCAAUACUGACGCUGAGACGCGAAAGCGUGGGGAGCAAACAGGAUUAGAUACCCUGGUAGUCCACGCCGUAAACGAUGAGAACUAGGUGUAGCGGGUAUUGACCCCUGCUGUGCCGAAGUUAACGCAUUAAGUUCUCCGCCUGGGGAGUACGGCCGCAAGGCUAAAACUCAAAGGAAUUGACGGGGACCCGCACAAGCGGUGGAGCAUGUGGUUUAAUUCGACGCAACGCGAAGAACCUUACCUGGAUUUGACAUCCUCUGACAACCCUGGAAACAGGGCCUUUCCGACUUGUCGGAACAGAGUGACAGGUGCUGCAUGGCUGUCGUCAGCUCGUGUCGUGAGAUGUUGGGUUAAGUCCCGCAACGAGCGCAACCCUUGUUUUUAGUUGCCAGUAUUCAGUUAGGCACUCUAAAGAUACUGCCUCGGUUAACGGGGGGGAAGGUGGGGAUGACGUCAAGUCCUCAUGGCCUUUAUAUCCAGGGCUACACACGUGCUACAAUGGGCUGUACAAAGGGUUGCCACUCCGCGAGGAGGCGCUAAUCUCAAAAAGCAGCUCUCAGUUCGGAUUGGAGUCUGCAACUCGACUCCAUGAAGGUGGAAUCGCUAGUAAUCGUGGAUCAGCAUGCCACGGUGAAUACGUUCCCGGGUCUUGUACACACCGCCCGUCACACCACGAAAGUCGGCUGUACCAGAAGUUGCUGGGCUAACCCCGCACCUAC